AUACGAAAAAGGCAAACCAGCUGAAAGGCUGGGACGCAAAGCUUAGGAGCCUAAGACCUGGAACUUGGAGGUUAUGGCCGUCCAGCUGCCGUG
rnacentral:ncRNA from 1 species